AUUGAACGCUGGCGGCAGGCCUAACACAUGCAAGUCGAGCGAGCGGCGGGCGGGAGAGUAAUGUAUGUGGAUCUGCCCGGUAGAUGGGGAUAGCUAAUGGAAACGGUUGCUAAUACCGCAUACUAUCGGAUGAACCAAUGUGGGAUUAGCUAGUGGGUGGGGUAAAGGCUCACCUAGGCGACGAUCUCUAGCUGGUCUGAGAGGAUGAUCAGCCACACUGGGACUGAGACACGGCCCAGACUCCUACGGGAGGCAGCAGUGGGGAAUAUUGCACAAUGGGCGCAAGCCUGAUGCAGCCAUGCCGCGUGUAUGAAGAAGGCCUUAGGGUUGUAAAGUACUUUCAGCGGGGAGGCGUUACCCGCAGAAGAAGCACCGGCUAACUCCGUGCCAGCAGCCGCGGUAAUUC
rnacentral:rRNA from 1 species